rnacentral:rRNA from 1 species
GAACGCUGGCGGCAGGCCUAACACAUGCAAGUCGAGCGGAUGGAGGGAGCUUGCUCCUGGAUUCAGCGGCGGACGGGUGAGUAAUGCCUAGGAAUCUGCCUGGUAGUGGGGGAUAACGUCCGGAAACGGGCGCUAAUACCGCAUACGUCCUGAGGGAGAAAGUGGGGGAUCUUCGGACCUCACGCUAUCAGAUGAGCCUAGGUCGGAUUAGCUAGUUGGUGGGGUAAAGGCCUACCAAGGCGACGAUCCGUAACUGGUCUGAGAGGAUGAUCAGUCACACUGGAACUGAGACACGGUCCAGACUCCUACGGGAGGCAGCAGUGGGGAAUAUUGGACAAUGGGCGAAAGCCUGAUCCAGCCAUGCCGCGUGUGUGAAGAAGGUCUUCGGAUUGUAAAGCACUUUAAGUUGGGAGGAAGGGCAGUAAGUUAAUACCUUGCUGUUUUGACGUUACCAACAGAAUAAGCACCGGCUAACUUCGUG